rnacentral:rRNA from 1 species
AUUGAACGCUGGCGGCAUGCCUUACACAUGCAAGUCGAACGGUAACGCGGGGCAACCUGGCGACGAGUGGCGAACGGGUGAGUAAUGCAUCGGAACGUGCCUGGUAGUGGGGGAUAACUGCUCGAAAGAGCAGCUAAUACCGCAUACGACCCGAGGGUGAAAGGGGGGGAUCGCAAGACCUCUCGCUAUCAGAGCGGCCGAUGUCGGAUUAGCUAGUUGGUGGGGUAAAGGCCCACCAAGGCGACGAUCCGUAGCUGGUCUGAGAGGACGACCAGCCACACUGGGACUGAGACACGGCCCAGAAUCCUACGGGAGGCAGCAGUGGGGAAUUUUGGACAAUGGACGCAAGUCUGAUCCAGCCAUGCCGCGUGCGGGAAGAAGGCCUUCGGGUUGUAAACCGCUUUUGUCAGGGAAGAAAUCUUCUGGGUCAAUACCUCGGGAGGAUGACGGUACCUGAAGAAUAAGCACCGGCUAACUACGUGCCAGCCGCCGCCGUAA